rnacentral:lncRNA from 1 species
UGUUGAAGGCCAUUUCCUCAGAUAAUUAAAUCUUGAGUUUGAUGCAGACCUUCCAAAUCUUGUUAAACUAAGAAGGGAGGAGAAAUGUAGAGUUUCCAAGACCUGAUUCUGUUAUUCCAAGUAGUAGUAGUAGUAGUAGUAGUAGUAGUAGUAGUAGUAGUAGUAGUAGUAGUAGUAGUAGUAGUAGUAGUAGUAGUAGUCUCUCGGUAACCGAGGAUGACGAUUGUCUUUGUGCAUUUUCAUCUAUGGUGUAUAGAUGAGUGUGCACAAAGACACUUGUGCGUGAAAGAGAUUUAAGUGGAAAAGUCGAUGCACAGAGACAGUCCCACUCUCUCGGCGUUGGAAGCCUGGGUCCAGUGGCACAAAAAGUCGUUACACCUGGAGACUUCCUCAGCUGCAUUGGAUGGCCGUGUUGUCCUUUGUGCUCCAACACGCCCUAAGCACUCCACAGUGCUUCGCUGCGUCGCCCUCUCAGCCGUUGAACCUUCUUGUUGGUUUCUUCCGUCUGUUCUGCCGAAGCAGUCUUCACAUGCUGGAGUCAUUAAAGUCCAGUGGCAAGAAAAAAGUCAAGAUGGCUAGAUGGUUCAGGAUUCAAUGGAUGGCCUUGGCUUCAAAGAUGUCUAACCAAGCUCUAAGUGUUCCACGGUGCCUGCUUCAGCUGCCUUCCUGGACACUGGAACAAACUGUUCUUAUCUACCCAUUCCUCCUGGGGAAGUCUUCACAUACUCCUUAGGGCAGCCACUCCCUCCCAAGGUCACCAAUAGCUUUGAGGCCUGUUGGUUGUCCUCAACUUGAGAUAAAACUGAGGGUGUGACUGCUGACCAUACUACAGCUUCUUGGAGUCACACGUGAGAGUUGGGUAAAAGGUAAGCACCAAACAUGAAUAAGCAACCCUGAAAAAGAUUUGGUAAACCCUCUCACCAAAGAUGCUAGUUCUCCUGCACACUCCAUAGACCUCAUUAUUACUAUUUAUCAUUUUAAGGAAAGGUAUAUCUAUUCCUGUGUUUUCUAGUAUUUUUUAAAAAACAGAAAUAGGUACCACUUUGUCAGAAGCUUUUCUUGAAUCUUUUGAUGAAAUAGAAUUUGUUG